GAUAACACUUGGAAACAGGUGCUAAUACCGUAUAACAAUCUAAACCGCAUGGUUUUGAUUUGAAAGGCGCUUUCGGGUGUCGCUGAUGGAUGGACCCGCGGUGCAUUAGCUAGUUGGUGAGGUAACGGCUCACCAAGGCCACGAUGCAUAGCCGACCUGAGAGGGUGAUCGGCCACAUUGGGACUGAGACACGGCCCAAACUCCUACGGGAGGCAGCAGUAGGGAAUCUUCGGCAAUGGACGAAAGUCUGACCGAGCAACGCCGCGUGAGUGAAGAAGGUUUUCGGAUCGUAAAACUCUGUUGUUAGAGAAGAACAAGGAUGAGAGUAACUGUUCAUCCCUUGACGGUAUCUAACCAGAAAGCCACGGCUAACUACGUGCCAGCAGCCGCGGUAAUACGUAGGUGGCAAGCGUUGUCCGGAUUUAUUGGGCGUAAAGCGAGCGCAGGCGGUUUCUUAAGUCUGAUGUGAAAGCCCCCGGCUCAACCGGGGAGGGUCAUUGGAAACUGGGAGACUUGAGUGCAGAAGAGGAGAGUGGAAUUCCAUGUGUAGCGGUGAAAUGCGUAGAUAUAUGGAGGACCACCGGUGGGGAGGGCGGUUUUCUGUUCGGUAACGGACGUGGAGGCUGGAAAGCGUGGGGACCAACCGGGUUUGGUUACCCUGGUGGUCCACCCGGUAACCGAGGAGUGUUAAGUGUUGGAGGGUUUCCGCCCUCCGGUGCGGCGGCUAAGCCAUUAGCCAUUCCGCCCGGGGAGAUCGGCCCCCAGGGUGAAAUUCAAGGGAAUGGCCGGGGGCCCGCCCAAGCGGUGGAGCAUGUGGUUUAAUUGGAAGCAACGGGAGGACCCUUCCCGGUUCUGGCCUCCCUUGGCCCACUCUAGAGAUAGAGCUUCCCCUUCGGGGCCAAAGUGCCAGGUGG
rnacentral:rRNA from 1 species